rnacentral:rRNA from 1 species
GAAUUCGCCCUUAGAGUUUGAUCCUGGCUCAGGACGAACGCUGGCGGCGCGCCUAACACAUGCAAGUCGAACGAGCGAGAGAGAGCUUGCUUUCUUGAGCGAGUGGCGAACGGGUGAGUAACGCGUGAGGAACCUGCCUCAAAGAGGGGGACAACAGUUGGAAACGACUGCUAAUACCGCAUAAGCCCACGGCUCGGCAUCGAGCAGAGGGAAAAGGAGCAAUCCGCUUUGAGAUGGCCUCGCGUCCGAUUAGCUGGUUGGUGAGGUAACGGCCCACCAAGGCGACGAUCGGUAGCCGGACUGAGAGGUUGAACGGCCACAUUGGGACUGAGACACGGCCCAGACUCCUACGGGAGGCAGCAGUGGGGAAUAUUGCACAAUGGGGGAAACCCUGAUGCAGCGACGCCGCGUGGAGGAAGAAGGUCUUCGGAUUGUAAACUCCUGUUGUUGAGGAAGAUAAUGACGGUACUCAACAAGGAAGUGACGGCUAACUACGUGCCAGCAGCCGCGGUAAAACGUAGGUCACAAGCGUUGUCCGGAAUUACUGGGUGUAAAGGGAGCGCAGGCGGGAAGACAAGUUGGAAGUGAAAUCCAUGGGCUCAACCCAUGAACUGCUUUCAAAACUGUUUUUCUUGAGUAGUGCAGAGGUAGGCGGAAUUCCCGGUGUAGCGGUGGAAUGCGUAGAUAUCGGGAGGAACACCAGUGGCGAAGGCGGCCUACUGGGCACCAACUGACGCUGAGGCUCGAAAGUGUGGGUAGCAAACAGGAUUAGAUACCCUGGUAGUCCACACUGUAAACGAUGAUUACUAGGUGUUGGAGGAUUGACCCCUUCAGUGCCGCAGUUAACACAAUAAGUAAUCCACCUGGGGAGUACGACCGCAAGGUUGAAACUCAAAGGAAUUGACGGGGGCCCGCACAAGCAGUGGAGUAUGUGGUUUAAUUCGACGCAACGCGAAGAACCUUACCAAGUCUUGACAUCCUGCGACGGUGCUGGAAACAGUACUUUCCUUCGGGACGCAGAGACAGGUGGUGCAUGGUUGUCGUCAGCUCGUGUCGUGAGAUGUUGGGUUAAGUCCCGCAACGAGCGCAACCCCUAUGUUCAGUAGCCAGCAGGUAGAGCUGGGCACUCUGGACAGACUGCCGGGGAUAACCCGGAGGAAGGCGGGGAUGACGUCAAAUCAUCAUGCCCCUUACGGCCUGGGCUACACACGUGCUACAAUGGCGUAAACAAAGGGAAGCGAAAGGGUGACCUGGAGCGAAUCUCAAAAAUAACGUCCCAGUUCGGACUGUAGUCUGCAACCCGACUACACGAAGCUGGAAUCGCUAGUAAUCGCGAAUCAGCAUGUCGCGGUGAAUACGUUCCCGGGUCUUGCACACACCGCCCGUCA